AACACUCCACUCAUCCUUCUCCAAAUUAGCUUCUCUCAAUCCCUUUUCCUCACUCUUUUAGCAGCAUAUCAUGGGGAUCAAGCUCUAUGGAGUCGCCAUGUCAACGGCCACACAAAGAGCACUUGCUUGUCUGUACGAGAAGGAGGCAGAUUUCGAAUUCGUCACCGUCGACAUGAAAUCCGGGGAGCACAAGAAUGAACUUUUCCUUAAAAAGAACGUACGUAUGAGUUGUGUUACAUAUAAUAUUUAUUGGGCUUGAUUGAUGAAUCAUUGCGGAAUGAAAAUUAAUGGAUAUAUAUCUCUUUUGUAUGUGUGCAGCCAUUCGGUCAGGUACCGGCAAUGGAAGACGGCGAAAUCACCUUAUUCGAAUCCAGAGCUAUAUCACAAUUCGUAGCACACACCUUCAUGGCACAGGGAACACAAUUCAUCUUCCCUCAAGAUAAGAAGAAGAUGUCCGGAAUUGCCCCAUGGAUGGAGGUGGAAUCAACCAAGUUCGACCCAAUUGCCUCGAAGCUCGUGUACGAGUGCAUGUACAAACCCAUGUUCGGCAGGGGUACCCCCGACGAGGCUGUCGUUGCUCAGCUUGAAGAAGAUCUUUGCAAGGUGUUGGAUGUGUACGAAGCUAGACUAGGCGAGUGUGCUUAUUUGAGCGGUGACGAUUUCGGCCUCCCUGACCUUCACCAUCUACCGACGAUUAACUGCAUCAUGAAGAUUGAUUCCAAGAAGAUCAUUGAGGCUCGCCCAAAUGUCAGCAAGUGGGCUGCUACCAUUCUAGCUCGUCCUUCUUGGACAAAGGUUUUGGCCCAGAAUUAAUUCACGCAACUUCAAAGUCAAAACAUAUCAGUUUGGUCGGUAAUUAGUAGUAAAUAAGUUCCGACGU
rnacentral:lncRNA from 1 species